GCCCGUGUAGCACAGUGGUAGUUGCGCUUGUCUUGUAAACAAGAGGUCCGCUGUUCAAUCCAGCGUACGGGCA
rnacentral:tRNA from 1 species